rnacentral:rRNA from 1 species
UACGUAGGGGCUAGCGUUAUCCGGAAUUACUGGGCGUAAAGGGUGCGUAGGUGGUUUCUUAAGUCAGAGGUGAAAGGCUACGGCUCAACCGUAGUAAGCCUUUGAAACUGGGAAACUUGAGUGCAGGAGAGGAGAGUGGAAUUCCUAGUGUAGCGGUGAAAUGCGUAGAUAUUAGGAGGAAUACCAGUGGCGAAGGCGACUUUCUGGACUUAUACUGACGCUGAGGAACGAAAGCGUGGGGAGCAAACAGGAUUAGAUACCCCGGUAGUCCCUGAGCGGGCUGG